GACGAACGCUGGCGGCGUGCCUAACACAUGCAAGUCGAACGGAAAGGCCCUGCUUUUGUGGGGUGCUCGAGUGGCGAACGGGUGAGUAACACGUGAGUAUCCCGCCCUUGACUUUGGGAUAUCUUCAGGAAACUGGGGCUAAUACCGCAUAGGAGCUCCUGCUGCAUGGUGGGGGUUGGAAAGUUUCGGCGGUUGGGGAUAGACUAGCGGCUUAUCCGCUGGUUGGUGGAGUAGUGGCUGACCAAGCUUGUGACGGAUAGCCUGCCUGGGAGGGUGACCGGCCACAUUGGGCCUGAGGGACGGCCCAGACUCCUACGGGAGGCAGCAGGGGGGAAUAUUGCACAACGGGCGGGAGCGUGAGGCGGCGGCGCCGCGUGCGGGAUGACGGCCUACGGGUUGUAAACCGCUUUCGCCUGUGACGAAGCGUGAGUGACGGUAAUGGGUAAAGAAGCACCGGCUAACUACGUG
rnacentral:rRNA from 1 species